UACCUGGGACUCAGGACUGAACGGACUGGCGGCGUGCUUAACACAUGCAAGUCGAACGAGAACCGAUUGGAGUCGAGGAGUUCGUCCAAGUGAAGGUGGGGAAAGGUGGCGGACGGGUGAGUAACGCGUGAGCAAUCUGCCUUGGAGUGGGGAAUAACGGCUGGAAACAGCGCUAAUACCGCAUGAUACAGCUGGGAGGCAUCUCCCUGGCUGUCAAAGAUUUAUCGCUCUGAGAUGAGCUCGCGUCUGAUUAGCUAGUUGGCGGGGUAACGGCCCACCAAGGCGACGAUCAGUAGCCGGACUGAGAGGUUGGCCGGCCACAUUGGGACUGAGACACGGCCCAGACUCCUACGGGAGGCAGCAGUGGGGAAUAUUGGGCAAUGGGCGCAAGCCUGACCCAGCAACGCCGCGUGAAGGAAGAAGGCUUUCGGGUUGUAAACUUCUCUUGUCAGGGACGAAGCAAGUGACGGUACCUGACGAAUAAGCCACGGCUAACUACGUG
rnacentral:rRNA from 1 species